GAUGAAGAACGCAGUGAAAUGCGAUAAGUAAUGUGAAUUGCAGAAUUCAGUGAAUCAUCGAAUCUUUGAACGCACAUUGCGCCCCCUGGUAUUCCGGGGGGCAUGCCUGUUCGAGCGUCAUUUCACCACUCAAGCCUCGCUUGGUAUUGGGCAUCGCGGUCCGCCGCGUGCCUCAAAUCGACCGGCUGGGUCUUCUGUCCCCUAAGCGUUGUGGAAACUAUUCGCUAAAGGGUGUUCGGGAGGCUACGCCGUAAAACAACCCCAUUUCUAAGGUUGACCUCGGAUCAGGUAGGGAUACCCGCUGAACUUAAGCAUAUCAAUAAGCGGAGGA
rnacentral:misc_RNA from 1 species